GAUGUUUUGUGGCUUGAACAAUGGUCAUGUUUGGUCUGUGAUUAUGGUAUAGCACUGUUUUUACCCUUCUCCAUUAUGGUCAGUGUGGCCUUAUCUGGUGUUAUGAUUAUGGUCAACAAAAGAACACCAAAAUCUAGCUGUGAGUGCCAGACCAUCUCAUAGUAAUGCCAAGGCCUAGUUUAUACUACCAGGCCAGCUAGUGGGUAUCAUGGGCUGAUUUUCUCUUUCGUGCAAAUGAUGCAGUGUGCACUAGUCACGAGUACCCUUUCUCCUCUACAAAUCUCAUGAAAUGACAACAGAUUAUAUAGGUUGAAAAUGAUCAAAUCCAUCACAACCAAUGGCAGCAAAGGUUGCCAUUAAAGUAAAAAAUGUAAGGGAGCACCUGCGAUCAGUACAAUUCAGCAAUAGAAAGUCUAAAAGUCACUGAAAUUAAAUGGAGAAACACAAUUUUCUUUUAAAGGCAGUGUCAGAGUUACUGGGAACAUUAUCAGGAAAA
rnacentral:lncRNA from 10 species